rnacentral:lncRNA from 1 species
GGAGGAGUGACUGAGUUCUAAGGAGAAGGCUUCAGAGGGAGGAUGAGGCUUCUGAGCAAAUAAAGACCAAGUAGUGAUCAUCAGACACUUGGCAAGGAAGGGAAGUGUCUAGGCCUGGGUGCGCCAGAGGAGCACAGGCAUGAAAGGCUGGCUAAGAAUUUACCAGGGGCUGAGAGCUCCCAGCUGGAGGAGCCCGGCAGGAACAAGGGCCAUCUGCAGUGCUUGCUCAAGCUCCCAUGAGAACAGGGCAGCAGCUCCGAUCGCAGAGUUCCACGUUCCUGUCCUGCCACGUGAGCCCAUUCCUGCAGCCUUCUAUACUUGGCAGAAGUG